rnacentral:lncRNA from 1 species
CUUCUCAAAAGACCUCACAUUCCUCUGCCUUCAGAGCUGGAUUCAGGCUCCCUGGAUAAUCUGGAGACCUCAAAGUGGAGUCCACAGGCUGGCACCAUUGGCUUCUCAGGAUCACUUCAGUGCGGAAGAGUGAGGAGAGCUGUGGACAGGGUGCUGCAGCUCUAUCUGACAGAUUUUAUGCAAGAUGUGGAAUACUUUAAGUUCUUGAGGAAGAACUCUUGAUCUUGAGUCUUGAGGGGUCUAGGAGAGCCAUAGCAGAUGAUUUCCAUGUGAGGAGUUUGAUGAAGGAAGAUGAAGCAGUAUUGGGGAAGGGCAUUAUGGAGUAAAAGGUUCCCUGGCAUGUUCUGUUCCCACCUUUGAUGAAGGUAUUCCAGAAGGGUAGCAGAAACCCACCCUAUGCUGACAAAUACAAUAAAUAUGCACACCUUGAACAGCACACAGGGCUGCUACUCUACCACUUCAGAGACUGUUCCAUCAGCCCCAAGACCAUCUGGGAGCCCCUCACUUUCCCAUACCAACAGACCUCGACUUUCCUUUCAGCUGGAUUCAGAGCAUGGUCUCAUGCUGGUUGGAGGACCUGGAGACCCACAAGUGCAACCAGAGGACCGACACUAUUGACUUCCUAUGGCCCUGGGCCCAGACUGGCUUCAGUGCUGAGGACCGGGAAGAGCUGCAGACAAACUUACAGGUGUGAGAGCCCUAGAAUCCCAGGAAUUCAACACUAUUUAACACAAGAGUCUUAGGAUUUGCCUAAUGUGAGCAAUAGGUUCUGACAAGAUGGUGGGCUCCUCUAAGAAGCUUGUCUAAUGAAGUAAAAAGAAAAGAAAAUUGAGGUAAAUUUCAUGUUCCUAGCUUAAGCUUCUUUUUCCCAUAUCCAUACCAGCUAUUCUGCAGAGCAAUUUGGAAGUAUUACAGAAAGUAAAAAAAUAUAUAUAUAUAUAUACCUCAGAUCCUCCCCUUUAGGAACCCUUUUAUGCUCCAAGGACUGGCAUUGCAAGGCUGCCACACCUAGAAGUUUGCUACCAAUAGCCCCUCCUUCCCCUACACCUGUUGGAACUCCAGAACAAAGCAAAGUGGUUCCACUUCUUAGGACCUUGUUACUCCCCAUGCUAUGACCUGACAAGUCCAUGACUAUACAAAUCUGCUCCACUCCUCAGUGUUUGUCCUUGGCAUGUUCCGAUGCCCCUACACUUGCCUGUCAUGUUUGUAUUCAUAACCAAUAGAAACCCCUGAUUGUGUAUGGGUCAUGUAACCUAUGGAAACCCUCCCCCACUGAUGGUGUAUAAAAUAGCAAGAGCUCCUGGCCUCAGGGCCCAGCCCUUGGAGGAAUGAUCCUGGCUGAGUCUGCAUGCACAUGCAUAAUAAAUCUCCUUCUUUCCUUCCUUCCUUCUUUUGA